rnacentral:lncRNA from 1 species
GUGAAGGGAGCAUUUCCCCCAACCAAUGAGGCUGCCAUUGGUGAGCCAGGGGAGAGAAUUUUGUCCAUGUUGGCUGCUGAUACCCACAAGGAACUCGAGCUGUUAGUCCAGAAAUCAGCCAGUUACUGCAGGGAAGGAAAAAUAGUGCUUUCACAUAUAUCAAUUCCGAUAACGCUGGCUCUCUCAUGACCCACUGGCAGGACUUGGUAAUGUGCAAGAAUUACCCAGGUGGCACUGGUUUUGAAGACAGUAGAAGACAGCAGCGUUUUGGAGAUGCCAGUACCAUGAGAUGACCACCAAGAAGAGCAGCAGCAGCAGAAUACAGGCAGCUGGAGCCUAGAAGACAAGCUGUGUGCUACGAAGGACAGGGCUGGAUAAGUGACCCUUAGGAAAGCAAGCCCUUGGAGGAGCCCAGAAGAUUGUGAGUUGAAUCCCAGACAUUGGACAGUUGGAGUUUAUUUUUUGCUUUUGAUUGUGACUGUGCCCUGACAUUUUUCCCUCUUGAAGGAAGAAAAUAUUUUAGUGGAUCCCACAGUUAAAGAGUCUUUUAAUUGUAAAAAGACUUUGGAUCUUAAAAGACAUUGGAUAUUUUUAAAGGAUUGAACUUUUAAUAUGUAAAAACUGUGGGACUUUUAAAGUUGUUUAGAUCUUGGGGAUGAAUAAGAAACUAAGGGUUGAGGCUUACUAGUGAUGUGUUUGUAUGUCAAGUUGACAAGGGGUCAAUUUUACUGGCUGGUUUUGUGUGUCAACUUGACACAGGCUGGAGUUAUCACAGAGAAAGGAGCUUCAGUUGGGGAAAUGCCUCCAUAAGAUCCAACUGUAAGGCAUUUUCUCAAAUAGUGAUCAAGGGGGAAGGUCCCCUUGUGGGUGGUGCCAUCUCUGGGCUGGUAGUCUUGGUUCUAUAAGAGAGCAGGCUGAGCAAGCCAGGGGAAGCAAGCCAGUAAAGAACAUCCCUCCAUGGCUUCUGCAUCAGUUCCUGCUUUCUGACCUGCUUGAGUUCCUGUCCUGACUCCUUUCAGCGAUGAACAGCAAUGUGGAAAUGUAAGCCAAAUAAACCCUUUCC